rnacentral:rRNA from 1 species
AACGAACGCUGGCGGCAGGCCUAACACAUGCAAGUCGAGCGCCCAGCAAUGGGAGCGGCGCACGGGUGAGUAACACGUGGGAAUAUGCCCUUUGGUUCGGAAUAACGUAGGGAAACUUGCGCUAAUACCGGAUAAGCCCUUACGGGAAAGAUUUAUCGCCAUUGGAGUAGCCCGCGUCUGAUUAGCUAGUUGGUGAGGUAAAAGCCCACCAAGGCAACGAUCAGUAGCUGGUUUGAGAGAACGACCAGCCACACUGGGACUGAGACACGGCCCAGACUCCUACGGGAGGCAGCAGUGGGGAAUCUUGGACAAUGGGGGAAACCCGUGAUCCAGCCAUGCCGCGUGAGUGAUGAAGGCCCUAGGGUUGUAAACUCUUUCGGGCGGGGACGAUAAUGACGGUACCCGCAGAAGAAGCUCCGGCUAACUCCGUGCCAGCAG